rnacentral:tRNA from 1 species
GCUUCUUUAGUAUAUAAGUACAAAUGCCUUCCAAGCAUUUAGUCCCCCCCGGGAAGAAACA